UUUUUUUUGGAGACCGCGUCUCACUAAGUUGCUGAGGCUGGCUUUGAACUUGAUCCUCCUGCCUCAGCCUUCCCAGCUGCUUGGAUUACAGGUGUGCAUCAGUAUGCCCAGUUUACAUUUAACUUCUUACUCUCAGAAUUAGUUUUGGUGAAUAUUAUGAAGUGGUAAUUUCUUUAAUAUUAUUCGGCUCUUGUGUUUAUCCGUAUUCCCUAUACAGCUGUGGUGCGAACUAAAAUACGUGCUCUUCCUUACUUUAGUGCCUUGUUUGUUCCAUUGGGGAAAAUGAGGUGGCUACGUGAGGGAGCCAGGCAGAGGGACUGGAACCCUCACAGUUGAACAAGCUCUCCCUUGCCCAGAACUUGCCCUGCUCCUCCUGGCCAUGAUGCUCAGCAUGGACCAGGAGGUAAAGACAGGAAGGAGGGCCUGUAAGAGCUGGGGACUAGGCGAGAGUGGGCCAGAGUGAAGCUUUCUGUCUUGACUCCACUUCAGUUAUUAAUGAGAGAGAAGUAUCCAGGGCUUGGCUCACUGGUAGUUACUUGAAUCUCAGAUCCAAGUUGUAAGGCAGCACUUGGUGAAAAGAACACCAGCCCAGAAAUUGAGAAAUCUUGAGUCUGGUUUCAGCUGUCAGUCAACUAUCUAUGUAACACAGCAGAAUCUCCUAACUUUGCCAGUUUCCUGACUCAAGGAAUGAGGGAGUUGAGAAGAAUACUUUUUCAGAACCAUUCUGAAUUAAAGUCUAGGCAAGUGGCAGAGCUAGUUUGUGGUGAUUGUUGGGAUGUUUCUUGGUGACCAGUUCAUCUUUCUUUAAUGAGGUCAGCAAGUAUGAUACCAAGUUUAGUAAGAUGAUGACAGAUGUUAUUUAAUACCCCACCUUGGAAGAAUCUAUGCUCCUUACCUUCCCUGACUUUUCUUGAUCUACUGUAACAUUGUUUUCUGUAAGAUUACUGUAUGUGCUGAUAAUUUCUUUGCUCCAGCCACUGCUUGUGUUUAAGAAUUAAAGGAAGAUGAACUAAUAAUCAAGAAAAUUCAGAAUGGAUUCAUGUCUCUGACCUUACCCAGUCACUUGCC
rnacentral:lncRNA from 1 species